rnacentral:rRNA from 1 species
UAAGGAAUAUUGAUCAAUGGGCGAGAGCCUGAACCAGCCAUGCCGCGUGCAGGAAGACGGCCCUCUGGGUUGUAAACUGCUUUUAUUCGGGAAUAAACCUACUUACGUGUAGAAGGCUGAAUGUACCGUAAGAAUAAGGAUCGGCUAACUUCGUGCCAG